rnacentral:rRNA from 1 species
CCUACGGGAGGCAGCAGUAAGGAAUAUUGGUCAAUGGGCGCAAGCCUGAACCAGCCAUGCCGCGUGCAGGAUGACGGCCCUCUGGGUUGUAAACUGCUUUUAUACGGGAAGAACAGCAUCUACGUGUAGGUGUUUGACGGUACUGUAAGAAUAAGGACCGGCUAACUUCGUGCCAGCAGCCGCGGUAAUACGAAGGGUCCAAGCGUUAUCCGGAUUUAUUGGGUUUAAAGGGUGCGUAGGCGGCUUUUUAAGUCAGUGGUGAAAGCCUGAUGCUCAACAUCAGAACUGCCAUUGAUACUGAAGAGCUUGAGUACAGUUGAGGUUGGCGGAAUGUGUCAUGUAGCGGUGAAAUGCUUAGAUAUGACACAGAACACCGAUUGCGAAGGCAGCUAGCUAAAGCUGUUACUGACGCUGAUGCACGAAAGCGUGGGGAGCAAACAGGAUUAGAUACCCUGGUAGUCCACGCCCUAAAACGUUGAUAAACUCGUUGUUAGCGAUAUACUGUUAGCGACCAAGCGAAAGCAUUAAGUUAUCCACCUGGAAGUACGGUCGCAAGAUUGAAAACUCAAAAUGAAAUUGACGG